rnacentral:misc_RNA from 1 species
UUUCAGGAUCCGGAUGUUCUACGUCCCGUUUUUGCAUUUGUAGAAGCAGACGAAAAGUUUCAACGUGGUUAGAAUAAUUCCCAUAGCCUACAAUGGGUGAAAGAAAAGGUGUGAAUAAAUAUUACCCACCUGACUAUGAUCCAUCCAAAGGGUCUCUUAACAAAUGGAUUGGUCAGCAUCCUCUUCGAGACCGAGCCCGCAAAAUUCACAAGGGAAUACUUGUUAUUAGGUUUGAAAUGCCUUAUAACAUUUGGUGUAAUGGCUGUAACAAUCACAUUGGCAUGGGUGUGCGAUACAAUGCAGAAAAAAGCAAAGUUGGAAAUUACUACACCACUCCUAUCUACAAGUUUCGCAUGAAAUGUCACUUGUGUGACAACUACUUUGAGAUUCAGACAGACCCAAAGAAUCAUGACUAUGUAAUCCUUGAAGGAGCUCGAAGGAAAGAACAGAGGUGGGACCCUAAGGAAAAUGAACAAAUUGUACCAGAGGAUAAAGGAACACAAAAGAAGCUUGCAACAGACCCAAUGUACAAGCUUGAGCAUGGCAGUGAUGAUCAGUAUCGUGGAAAAUCAUCUGUCCCCAGUAUAGCACAGAUUGAAGAUAUGCGUGAUGCCUGGCAGGAUGAUUAUAUCCUCAACAGAUUAGCUCGUAACAAAUUCAGAGAAGAGAAGAAGCAGAUCAUUGCCAAAUCAAGCAGUAGAUAAGGCUCUACUUAAAAAGUCGUCCCUAGACAUAGAACUUGUUCCUGAAACAGAGCAAGACAGAAGAUUAGCUAGCCUCAUCAAAUACUCUGUCACUAAGUCAUUUGAUGAAAAACAGCAGGAGACAAGGAAAGCUAUUGCAAGUCGACCCCUUUUCAAAGGAACUAAUAAACCGUUGUCCAGUGCUUGUGGACUAUCUGGUGAAGAACUCAACAAAAGAACAGAAAUUAAACAAAAACU